CAAAAGCAACCACAAAAGAGAACACAAGAGAGUCACCAUUAACCUGCCGGCAUUGAAUGUUAAUGUGAAUGUUAAUGCCUCUUGAACUUGAUGCAGAUUUUAAACAGGCCUGUGGCAGUUACCUCGAUCUUCUGCAAAUGUAUGGAGAGAGGGAGAGAGUCUGGACCCACUCCAGUUUGCAUGUAUGGCAAAAGACGGAGCUGAGGAUGCCAGUCUAAAUCUUCUGGACACAGUGGCUGGCUAAAGGCAUCUUGAUGCUCCAAACUAGUGGCCUACGUCAGGAUUUUAUUCAUGGAUUGUUCACCAGCUUUUAACACACACAAUGGAAUGUCCCUUUUCAAAUAUGCUGAUGAAAUUGCCUAGGUGGCCCAUCUGACAGAGCAAUCCCUGUCCAUAUAAAGGCAUGUGGUCCUUUGGUUCAAGGAGAGCUCCCUGCAAUUGAACAUCAGCAAAACCAAAUGGCCUGGUUGUGGGGCAAGCUGAACACCUGACUUCCCACACCCUCUCUCAAAACCACUCAGGCUGGAAGGGCAGAUGCUACAGGUCAAGACCUCUAAAUCCCUUAGCACAGAAAUCGACUGCAAUCUGUCCUUCACACAACAUGCUGAUGGAACUAUAGAA